GAACGGCAGCGCGGGAGCAAUCCUGGCGGCGAGUGGCGAACGGGUGAGUAAUAUAUCGGAACGUGCCUUAGAGUGGGGGAUAACUAGUCGAAAGACUAGCUAAUACCGCAUACGACCUACGGGUGAGAGUGGGGGAUCGCAAGACCUCAUGCUCUUAGAGCGGCCGAUAUCUGAUUAGCUAGUUGGUGGGGUAAAAGCCUACCAAGGCGACGACCAGUAGCUGGUAUGAGAGGACGACCAGCCACACUGGGACUGAGACACGGCCCAGACUCCUACGGGAGGCAGCAGUGGGGAAUAUUGGACAAUGGGGGAAACCCUGAUCCAGCGACGCCGCGUGUGUGAAGAAGGCCUGCGGGUUGUAAAGCACUUUUAGUGGGGAUGAAAAGCUACAGGGCUAACACCUAUGGGUAUUGACCUAACCCAAAGAAAAAGCACCGGCUAACUCUGUGCCAGCAGCCGCGGUAAU
rnacentral:rRNA from 1 species